UGGGGGAUAUUGCACAAUGGGCGAAAGCCUGAUGCAGCGACGCCGCGUGGGGGAUGAAGGCUUUCGGGUUGUAAACCUCUUUCGCUAUCGAACAAGGCCCGCUUAGGGUGGGUUGAGGGUAGGUGGAGAAGAAGCGCCGGCUAACUACGUGCCAGCAGCCGCGGUAAUACGUAGGGCGCGAGCGUUGUCCGGAAUUAUUGGGCGUAAAGGGCUUGUAGGCGGCUUGUUGCGCCUGCUGUGAAAACGCGGGGCUUAACUUCGCGCGUGCAGUGGGUACGGGCAGGCUUGAGUGUGGUAGGGGUGACUGGAAUUCCAGGUGUAGCGGUGGAAUGCGCAGAUAUCUGGAGGAACACCGAUGGCGAAGGCAGGACACUGGGCCAUUACUGACGCUGAGGAGCGAAAGCAUGGGUAGCGAACAGG
rnacentral:rRNA from 1 species